rnacentral:rRNA from 1 species
GCGGGAGGCCUAACACAUGCAAGCCGAACGGUAUUUAUUCUUCGGAAUAGAGAGAGCGGCGUACGGGUGCGGAACACGUGUGCAACCUGCCUUUAUCAGGGGGAUAGCCUUUCGAAAGGAAGAUUAAUACCCCAUAAUAUAUUGAAUGGCAUCAUUUGAUAUUGAAAACUCCGGUGGAUAGAGAUGGGCACGCGCAAGAUUAGAUAGUUGGUAGGGUAACGGCCUACCAAGUCAGUGAUCUUUAGGGGGCCUGAGAGGGUGAUCCCCCACACUGGUACUGAGACACGGACCAGACUCCUACGGGAGGCAGCAGUGAGGAAUAUUGGACAAUGGGUGAGAGCCUGAUCCAGCCAUCCCGCGUGAAGGACGACGGCCCUAUGGGUUGUAAACUUCUUUUGUAUAGGGAUAAACCU